CCUACGGGAGGCAGCAGUGAGGAAUAUUGGUCAAUGGACGAGAGUCUGAACCAGCCAAGUAGCGUGAAGGAUGACUGCCCGAUGGGUUGUAAACUUCUUUUAUAGGGGAAUAAAAUGUACCACGUGGGGGAUUUUGUAUGUACCAUAUGAAUAAGGAUCGGCUAACUCCGUGCCAGCAGCCGCGGUAAUACGGAGGAUCCGAGCGUUAUCCGGAUUUAUUGGGUUGAAAGGGAGCGUCGGGGGAUUGUUAAGUCAGUUGUGAAAGUUUGCGGCUCACCCGUAAAAUUGCAGUUGAAACUGGCAGUCUUGCGUACAGUAGAUGUGGGCGGACUUCGUGUUGUAGCGGUGCAAUGCU
rnacentral:rRNA from 1 species